UACGGAGGGUGCAAACGUUGCUCGGAAUCAUUGGGCGUAAAGCGCACGUAGGCGGCCUGAUAAGUCGGGUGUGAAAGCCCUGGGCUCAACCCAGGAAGUGCACUCGAAACUGUCAGGCUUGAAUAUGGAAGAGGGUCGCGGAAUUCCCGGUGUAGAGGUGAAAUUCGUAGAUAUCGGGAGGAACACCAGUGGCGAAGGCGGC
rnacentral:rRNA from 1 species